GUGUAUAUUAUUCCAAUUGUCAACAACAAAGACAAAAAAAAAAAAAGACGUUAACUUAAUAACUUAAUUGUGAUGUUUUAUUCUACUUUAAUUCUUUUAACAGAGUAAUUUGUCACUGAUCUUUCUACGAAUUCCAUUCAUCUUAUUGUAUUUUAAGUAAACGAUGCGGAGGAGUGACUUCCAACCACUGAUGUUUUGAAUCUGAGCUAAGAAUUUCCUUAUAAACUGAAGAUGUUUGAUUAUGUGGAAGGAAUAUUGAUUAAUACGAAGUGAGAAUGGACACAAUCUCCAGAGCAGUGGAGUAUGCUGAGUACCUGGUGCAGGCAGCCAAGCAGAGACCCGACUCCCUGUGUAGGCCCACAGUCAGCAGCAAAGUGAAGACUAUUCACCAGAAGUUACAUGAGCUCUACCUAGAGACUUGUCAGAACCAAGAUGACAGCAAGGUUUGACAUUGUCCAGUCCUCCAACCUAUUGUCUAAGCUGGUCAGGAGGGACAAACUGAAUUGUCUGGUGCUGAAGCUCUACCCAGGGAAUGAGGGCUACUCAAUCAUGUUGAGGGGGCGUGGCGGGGUGGAGCUGGAGACUCUCAAACUCCCAUACGAGGUGUCUGAACUUCUGGAUUAUGUGGAUUCCUCAGAGUUGCCUCCCUUCCUUGUUGACCUUCUUGAAAAAGCACAGGUGAACGUGUUCUACAGUGGGUGUGUGAUUCUAGAGGUGCGUGACUACCGCCGCUCCAUCACCGGGUCCUUUGACACCCAGUAUGUGCUACUGAAGCCCACCUCACAGUCACUGCUAUCAGACAUGUACAAUAUCAUCAAUGACGGACACAGGUGGACACAAGAGGACCAGUUUACCCUGGAGAGUCAGUUGCUAUUGGCAACAGAAGAGCCCCUCUGUCUUGACCCAUCACCUGCAGUUUUACUUGUCAACAACAAACUGCAGUAUGAACAGAAAAGUCUCUGUAAUCCCAUACUUAAAAGAUCUGCAAAACGCUUUAACCAGGCAGCAUUAAACAGGAAGAGGAAGUUAGCAAGUGCAGCUGCUCCCAAAGAACUGAAGCUGCAUGACUUCAUCCACAAAAAGAAACCCAAGUCUAAUCCUCCUGUCAACCUGAAAGUGGGCAAGCCUCAUGUUGACAUGUGGAAACAAAAGCCUCUUCAGUUAUCUGCCCCUGAAACAGUUGAGGUCAGCAAGUUUGCCUCAGUAAUACCAGGUCCAGAACCCGCAUCAGAUAAUUCUUUUGAAAUCAUUGAGGAGAUAACAUUGGAGCGUGAUGUCAGUGCAGAGAAAAAAAUUCUGGCCAAACUAACCAUCCAGAAACGGAACAUGGACGAUGAGUUUUACGGGGAGCUGUACCUGGACCACGACUACCGUGAGGGCAGUGAGGGCACGUCCUGCAUGUUCUUACUCGGGACGAAAAUAUUGGUAGACAAAUAUCUGGAACAAUUCAAGGAAAUAUUUACAGAAGAGGGAAGGCGGGCAGUAAAAAUAACAACUCAGAAGCCAGGACAGCCCCCUCAUGUGGAGUUCACCCAGACCUCUCAGACCCCCACCACACCCGGGCCGACAGGACCCCAAGGCAUUCUUAGUGCACAUGCACCGGCUCUUACAGCUGCAAUUAAAGGGCAAUUUACACAGGCGGAUUUAGCCACCACCUCUUCCUCGGGACUGACCGCCAAGAGAAACGUCCCCAUCCAGCUGUCCCUCACCCUGGCUCCAAUGGCUCAGGGGACCCAGCCUACUGGGAACCAGUUACAACUUAACAUACAGAAAUCUCAGUCUCAGCAGGCUGCACUCAGGGGGAAGUCAUUGUCACAGACUGCAGGCCAAAGAACCUCCUCCACCCCAAGUCCAGCUACCACACCAACAUCUGCUACAGGUCAGCUGUUUUCUCCUGGUCUAGUUCCCUCCCCUGCAUCAGCACAGCUUAGUAAAGGGGCCACUACUUUAUCGUCACCCCCAGCAACCAAUGUCCCUGGGAGGAAGCCCUCCACAGAGGCGACCACUGUACAGCAGAUCAGUCAGGGGCUCCCACAGGGAAACAUCACCUUUGUACAAAACACUGAUAGCAGCUCCAGCGGUCAGCAACAGGGUAUAGCUAACAUCAACAUCACCAACAUUGGACUCCCUCCCAACAUCAACAUCCAGAAUCUUACAGGUAUUCCCGGGGUCAACAUCGCCAACCUCCAGGGUCUCCAGAACAUGCAGGUGUCACUGACCGGGGUGUCCAUGCCUGGGGGAGGGAUUGCUGUCCCUGUCCCCAUCAGCCUCAUCAACACCAACUCAGGUGUUUUACAGAAUCAGAGUAUUUUUGUGAGCUCCCUGCCCAGUGGUUCUAUGUCCUCCACCACCACUGGAUCCGUGCCUGUUUCUGUGAGUAGAAAACUUACAUCAUCAUCUAUUGGGUCAGCACCAACCCUUGUUACCAUGGUGACCUCAAUGCCUACCAUGGUUACAACCUCUGGUUCAUCACUACCGGCAACAUCCUCACCCUCAUCAACCACAGUCACAGUGACCUCAGGAGGACUGUUAUCCCCUCUCAUUGGGUUAGCUCCCUUUGUUCAGGGAGGCUUGAAGACCCAAGCUGGCUCCAACAUCAGACAGCAAUCCUCUGUACCGCUCCUUCAGAUCCAAGGCCAGCCCAGUAUACAGCUAGUUGGUCUUCCUCAGCAGAGGGCACCAGGGAAAUCUGGGUCAGUGUCCUCUCCCUCAGCAGGCAAGCCUGGCCAAGGCCUCCCCACAACAGUUCAGUUAACAGCACAGACCAUUACAGGACACCAGUUAGCUACCCUGUCUCAGUUCAAACCUAGCGCAACACAAGGGGGUGCUGUGCCUCAGCAACAGUUGCUCCAGUUACAGCAACUUCCUUACAAGCAACUACAACAAAUACAGAUUCGUCAGCCCCAGGCUGCUGUGUCAUCGUCGGUGGCCAAACCCAAGAGUAAAAAACGAACCACUCCCACCCCUCCAAAACAGUAGUACUAGUGUGAGGAAAAGAGCUUUUUAGAACUUACAUAGAGCAGACAGUAUGGGAUAUGUAAUUUACACUUAUUCCAGUCACAGUUGAUCGUCAUUUCCAAGGAAGUGCUUUUUAAUAUCUUUUUUUUUUGUAGGGUUAUCCUGGUGUUUUUCUAUGUUUUCCUAGUGCACUGUCAGGAGGCUGCUCAUGCUAAAUCAAAUUUUUAUUCAUUGUAAAUCGUUAUUAUGAUUUGUUUUACAUGUUGAAUAUUACAUGUAUGUAACAGAUG
rnacentral:misc_RNA from 1 species